GUUUCAAAAUGAUGAUACUUUCCAUGCACCACUCUGAAGCCUUUUAGGCUAUUUGCAGAUUAUGGAUAUGCUGAUAUAUG